rnacentral:rRNA from 1 species
UACAGAGGGGGCGAGCGUUAUUCGGAAUUAUUGGGCGUAAAGGGCGCGUAGGCGGCCUGGUGUGUCUACGGUGAAAUCCCUCGGCUUAACCGAGGAACUGCCGUGGAAACUGCCGGGCUCGAGGCCGGAAGAGGGUGGUGGAAUUCCCAGUGUAGCGGUGAAAUGCGUAGAUAUUGGGAGGAACACCGGUGGCGAAGGCGGCCACCUGGGCCGGUUCUGACGCUGAGGCGCGAAAGCGUGGGGAGCAAACAGGAUUAGAUACCCUGGUAGUCCACGCUGUAAACGAUGGGUGCUCGGUGUCGCGGGUAUCGACCCCUGCGGUGCCUUAGCUAACGCGUUAAGCACCCCGCCUGGGGAGUACGGUCGCAAGGCUGAA